rnacentral:piRNA from 1 species
UGUGCAGACCCCCUUUCAGGCCAUGCC